UAAUACGAAGGAUCCAAGCGUUGUCCGGAUUUACUGGGUUUAAAGGGAGCGUAGGCGGACUUUUAAGUCAGUGGUGAAAGCUUGCAGCUUAACUGUAAAAUUGCCAUUGAAACUGAAAGUCUCGAGUAUGGUUGAGGUGACUGGAAUAUAUCAUGUAGCGGUGAAAUGCUUAGAUAUGAUAUAGAACACCAAUUGCGAAGGCAGGUCACUAAACCAUAACUGACGCUGAGGCUCGAAAGCGUGGGGAUCAAACAGGAUUAGAUACCCUGGUAGUCCACGCCCUAAACGUUGAAUACUCGAUCUUAGCGAUAUACAGUUAGGAUCCAAGCGAAAGCGUUAAGUAUUCCACCUGGGAAGUACGAUCGCAAGAUUG
rnacentral:rRNA from 1 species